GACAGAGGGUGCAAACGUUGUUCGGAACUACUGGGCGUAAAGAGCGUGUAGGCGGCCGCACAGGUCCGUUGUGAAAACUGGAGGCUUAACCUCCAGACGUCGACGGAAACCGUGUGGCUAGAGUCCGGAAGAGGAGAGUGGAAUUCCUGGUGUAGCGGUGAAAUGCGCAGAUAUCAGGAAGAACACCAAUGGCGAAGGCAGCUCUCUGGGACGGUACUGACGCUGAGACGCGAAAGCGUGGGGAGCGAACAGG
rnacentral:rRNA from 1 species